UUUUCUCAUUUCUAGUUCUCAAGAACAGCUGUAGAAUGUUCUGGGAAUGCAACAUUCUGAGAUAAGGAGGGCUGGCUGGAACAGCCUGAGCUCUGUUCUGGGACCCCGCUUUACUGAAAUAAGAUAACCUUCAAUGUUUUAGCCCAGCAAAUCUCAUUGCCCCACAGCAUAAAACCAAGGUUGAGAGGCUUUCUGGGGUCCCUCAGCUGAUACAAGUGGGGUAUGCAUGGAGGACACUCCAUCUAUCCUGGGCAAAUUUCUUGAGCCUUGCAGACUGGCUUACAAUGUGUCACGGGCUUCUGUUGUCUUGCUGCCUAUCUGUAAGUAGUAAAAAGUCUCUUCAUGCAGCUUGUUGUAUGCACAGGUGUUUUCUCUCACUGGACUCAGACAAGUUGGUGACCCGCACACAAUAAACCUGCUCCACAACAAGAGGAGAAGGAAUUCCAGAGCUCAAAAUGGAGAAAGGAACAGAGUAAGAACAAUGGCUUCAGGAGGAAAAUGCAAUGAUAGAAGCUUUGAAAGAAAGACAACUAGAAUUCAGGUCAUAGUAGAUGAUGAUACCUGCCUGUCUGACCUUUGAGGAAGGGGAAUUUCUGAAACCUAAGGCUUCCUUGUAUUGCUCAAUUCAGUGAGAAAGAAAUCACUAAUGAUAGCAGGGUUUUGCUCUGUCGCCCCCGCUGGAGCGCAGUGGCACAAACAGAGUACAUUGCUGUCUAUCUUCUGGACUCAAGUGAUCUUCCCUCCUCAGCCUUCUGAGUAGCUGGGACUACAGAUGCAGAUAGAAAUAUUAGUUUUAUGAGAAACUAUUUCUUAAAGGAUGAAACAUUCCACAAAAUAUAUUUUAUCACAGACUAUGGGUGGAUUCCACUGGGAGAAAAGAGGAUCUAAAUGCCAGGCUCACCCCUCACAUUCUAUUCAACUGCACAGGAUAGAAUGAUGAAUAAUCAAGCUUUUGUGAAGCAAAGAACUGAGUGAUGAGAUAAAUAAGGACAAAUCCAGAAAGUUUUGUUUGAUCAUUGAUGAUCUAUUAUCAUUCUUUGGGACAUGUUGGCAAAGAUGCGGUCUUCUUCACGUAGAUGUCCUUAGAAGGUUACAAUUUAUAAUACAUUGGAACUUUGUAUGGAACAACAACAGAGACUUCAGGUAAAGUUGCUACUUCCUAAGAAUUCAGAAUCCAAAAGAGAGAAUAACAGAUGUAUUCCUAAGCAUACUUCUCUAUACAAAGAAAAGAAAUGAAGAAUAUUAAGAGGUCAGGGUAUAUACAGAUAAGAUAGAAGUUGAAAAGAGAUGGAGUCAACCUGAAAAAGCUCAGAAAAUAGGUAUACGUGAAACAUUUAGACAUAAGAUACAAUAUGCUUUCCUGGAAAUUGGUCCAGAAGUAAGAAGUAGCACUGGGAUUUAAAGGUCACUCUGAAGCAAGGAAAGCAUAUUGCUAGAGAGAGUAGUGAGAAAUGAGACUGAUGAUGUAGAACUGUAUAGGAAGAGAAUUAGACAUUAAAGACGUGUAUGCACAUGACUUCUAACUGUAUACAGUCCACACUGUAUGAAACAGAGAACUGUGGGCAAGAGCAUGACCCUGGAAGCUCAGCUCUAUAUUUAAAAGUUCUCUCUAAUUGUAAAAUGUGGAAAAUAAUUCUACUUGCCAAAUGUUUAGCACUUACUAAAUUCAUAUUUUGUGCCAGGAA
rnacentral:lncRNA from 1 species